GACGAACGCUGGCGGCGUGCUUAACACAUGCAAGUCGAACGAAGUGGCGAACGGGUGAGUAACGCGUAAUCACCCUGCCCUUCAGAGGGUGACAACAGUUGGAAACGACUGCUAAUACCGCAUACUGAAGGAGGGGCUUGCGUCUGUUAAGCUAGUUGGAGGGGUACCGGCCCCCCAAGGCGAUGAUCAGUAGCCGGUCUGAGAGGAUGAACGGCCACAAGUGGACUGGGACACGGCCCAGAACCCUACGGGAGGCAGCAGUGGGGAAUCUUCCGCAAUGGACGGAAGUCUGACGGGGCAACGCCGCGUGGGGGAUGACGGCCUUCGGGUUGGAAAGCUCUGUUAAUCGGGACGCGGUACCGGAAUAGAAAGCCACGGCUAACUACGUGCCAGCAGCCGCGGUAAUAC
rnacentral:rRNA from 1 species